rnacentral:snoRNA from 1 species
UUACAAUGAUAUGGGCAGUCUCUGAGUAGUUUCUUGUAUCAUUCUCAAGCUUGACAAAGAGUCUCACCAUCUCGUUGUUGAAACCCACGAAUCUAGAUCCUCAGUAA